rnacentral:tRNA from 1 species
GGGAUGGGGCUCAGAGGUAGAGCAUUUGCCUAACAUGCAUGAGGCACUGGGUUCGAUCCUCAGUGCCA